rnacentral:rRNA from 1 species
UACGGGGGGGGCAAGCGUUGUUCGGAAUUACUGGGCGUAAAGGGCUCGUAGGUGGCCAACUAAGUCGGACGUGAAAUCCCUCGGCUUAACCGGGGAACUGCAUCCGAUACUGGAAGGCUUGAAUCCGGGAGAGGGAUGUGGAAUUCCAGGUGUAGCGGUGAAAUGCGUAGAUAUCUGGAGGAACACCGGUGGCGAAGGCGGCAUCCUGGACCGGUAUUGACGCUGAGGCGCGAAAGCUAGGGGAGCAAACGGG